UACGUAGGGAGCAAGCGUUGUCCGGAAUCAUUGGGCGUAAAGAGCUCGUAGGCGGCCUGUUGCGUCCGCUGUGAAAGCCCGGGGCUUAACCCCGGGUCUGCAGUGGAUACGGGCAGGCUAGAGGUAGGUAGGGGAGAAUGGAAUUCCCGGUGUAGCGGUGAAAUGCGCAGAUAUCGGGAGGAACACCGGUGGCGAAGGCGGUUCUCUGGGCCUUACCUGACGCUGAGGAGCGAAAGCGUGGGGAGCGAACAGG
rnacentral:rRNA from 1 species